rnacentral:tRNA from 2 species
ACGAGUGUAGUGUAGUGGUUAUCACCAGGCGUUGCCAACGCUUGAACCCGAGUUCAAAUCUCGGCACUCGUA